AACGUUGAGAACCGCCACCACACUGACCUGCACCUCCAUGACCAGCCACCGUUAAGCUUGGAAGUGAAGCGCUCUGUUUUCAUACACUAAAACAGAGUGAUUGUUUUGCCCACCGUGAGCCGCCAAGCCACCCUCACUCCUCGCCUCAGCCAUUGAGCCACCUAGUUGCACCACCUCGCCAGAAUCAACAGCAGGAAGCGACGCUAGAAGCCUCCCACUAGCCCUUAUCUGCCACACUUUUCUCUCUUGUGCGCCACUGUCGGGACAGCCACCUCCCACAGCAACCCAACUCCGCCUCGACCUCUUUCCCCACGGUGCCGCUGCCUCUUAGUUUUCCAUGGAUAUUUUGUUGGUUCAGCUGAGGAUCAAGAUUAUGAGGCAUUGGGUGAGAUGAUUAAAGUAUAGUGGUUUAAGCGUAGGAAGUUUUUGUGAGUAUUGUUGAUUUUUAUUAAGAAAUUUUAUUGUGUUAUGAUGACUUGGCAUUUUGGAAAAUUGGUUAUAUUGAGGAAAUUAGAUUGAAUUGAAUUUUCUAUAUGAUAUUGGAAAUUUGGAGUCUAUUUUUUAUAUUAUUGAAAGGUGAGUUUAAGUGUUAGGAAGUAACUCUCCCACCCUUGCGGGACCGGAGCGUUACAGGU